rnacentral:lncRNA from 1 species
UUCAUACUGCUCUAUAACAAAUUACAAGAUCAACUAUGGCAAUCUCGAGUAAGCGUCAGUUAGUAGGAAGGGGGGUGCCGUUACAUGUCACUGCGACAUAGACUACUCAGCUACACAGGUCACAUUGUCGUACAAGUACGUAACCUUGCAUCUUCAACAACAGGCUCGCAUGCCUCAGAUCGUCAAACAUCCCAGGGGAAAUUCACAAUUGCAACCACAGGUUCCAGUCUCAAGGCGCGGUCAUUUCACAAUCCAACAUAGGAGCAUUGCUUCUUUGCAU